rnacentral:rRNA from 1 species
GAGUUUGAUCUUGGCUCAGAUUGAACGCUGGCGGCAUGCCUUACACAUGCAAGUCGAACGGCAGCAUGAUCUAGCUUGCUAGAUUGAUGGCGAGUGGCGAACGGGUGAGUAAUACAUCGGAACGUGCCCUGUAGUGGGGGAUAACUAGUCGAAAGAUUAGCUAAUACCGCAUACGACCUGAGGGUGAAAGUGGGGGACCGCAAGGCCUCAUGCUAUAGGAGCGGCCGAUGUCUGAUUAGCUAGUUGGUGGGGUAAAGGCCCACCAAGGCGACGAUCAGUAGCUGGUCUGAGAGGACGAUCAGCCACACUGGGACUGAGACACGGCCCAGACUCCUACGGGAGGCAGCAGUGGGGAAUUUUGGACAAUGGGCGGAAGCCUGAUCCAGCAAUGCCGCGUGUGUGAAGAAGGCCUCGGUUGUAAG